UUCUCCAUUCCUUUCAGGGUGCAGAAACCAAAAGGAAUUAUCUGUUCUAUUAUAGUUACUACUUACAUCAAAUAUUCCAGAGCUUCAUUUGUCACAAAUUAUUUCACUGCAGGACUGUGUUCAUGCUGCCACUCAGUGGUAGCAAAGAGAUAGCUCAUCUCUGUCUAUCGAUUCCAUCUGCAUGCAACAGCUGCAGAUAAAGGACUAGACACUCUUUAACCAGGCAGCCAGCUGGACUAAAGCCCACAAAAAAACAACUACUCUAAACUUCUCAGUGAUAAGAGAAAAAAUAAGAAUCUGCUCCAGCAACAUUACUUUCCAGUUCUCCCUUCACAGCAACAGCCCAGAAAGCUAAUAUAACUGCAAUGAACGGCCCACAUCCAUGAAGAACCUAUCUAUAGAAUCUCCAUGAAAUGUAUUGUUAUAUACGAUGGCAAUGGCUAAGUUUUCCAAUAAACGUGUGACUCAAGUUGAUACACUUUUAUUGCUAUUUGCCACGUGUUCCUUUGACUUAGUCCAUGAGUUUAUGAAGUGAUCGAAAGCCAUGAAUAUGUUCUAAAUUAAAGGAGGAGAUUUUCAUGGUUACUUCACCACUGAUAUGGGAGUCCAUGGAUAUAUGUUAACUUAAAACUAGGUCAAGUAGAUAGUUAA